CCCGCCGCCACUGCCGCCACUCCUCUUCCUCCUCAGCCGCCGCCGCCGCCUCCUUUGCCGCCGCGGCCGCCUCCACCACAGCCAAGGUUCACACUCAGCCGCCGUCGCCGUAAAGCGCCUCGGCUGUUACCCCGGUUUUGUGUAGCACUUUGUUGAGGACUUGAAGGCCAUGUGUCAGCUCUACCAGAAGGUGCCAUGAUGACUCAGCACCGUUCAGCACGGGCCUGCGGAAGAGGGCAACACACGCGUGGCUGUAUGUGUAGCUAUUUCAGACAAUGCUGCCUCGAAUAGAGCUGCUCAUUGAUCUUUGAGCACUUGUAUGAGUAUUCCAGAGGACCAAUUGCUGGAAGCAGAAGUGAUAGGUCAAAGGCAUAUGAACUGAAAAGAUUGAUAGGUAUUUUUCAAAUUACUCUUGAAAGAAGUUUUACUUAUUUACAUCCUCACUAUCUUGUAUGAGAAUGCUAGUCUUAUUAAAUCAAUGCCAACAAUUACUUACAGGUGGAAAUAGUAACUUGUCUUAAUUGCUCUUGCUUCAGUUAUAAGUAAUGUGAUCUCUUUCUGCAUUUUUACUACCUGAUUCUGAGAAUUGCCUGUUAAUUUUCCAUUCCUCGGUUUUACAUUGUAUUUUUUCCUUUUUUUUAAGA